CCCAAGAUGCCGCUGGUGAUGAAUCCA
rnacentral:piRNA from 1 species